ACCGAGGACGCAAUUUACAGGCCUUGGCGACCGUGCGUGUGGGAAGGGCACGGGGGAGAUGUCUCCCGUCCACUUUCUGAGAAGAGCUGCUACAGCCCAGGGGGGCACUUCUUGGCCUGGGGUGCAGGGCUGGGCGCUGGGUGCUGGGGGCACAGAGACGAGGCAGCAGUGCCAGCCCUUGAUCUAGGAUGAACUAUACCUUUCAGCUGCGGCCGGUUUGGGGGCAGGUCCUGCUGAGCGUGGUGGGGACAGGAGGACACUCCUGGUGUGCUGGGCUGGCCGGACGGACACCGAGCGGGGCUGCAGCUGCUCUCCGCUUCCUCCCUGCUCUUCUCCACGUGCCCCGCCCCCACCCACAUUUGGCCUUUUCAUUCUCUGGCAGGUGUUGUCUCCAAACUGAAGGUGUCUGCGAACACUGGAAAUAUGGAAAUGUCAGGGCUCUUAUUUCUCUGCGGUUUCAUUUCAAGUGCCCUUCAGAGAUACCUGGGGCUUCGUGGCAGAGCCAUGGAACCAGAGAGACUCCUGGGCUUGGAUCCUGGCACCAAGAAUCACAAGCUGUGCCACCUUGGGCAAGUCACUUCCCGUCUCUGAGCCUCAGGUCCCUCACCUGCCGAAUGGGCUAUUUGUGAGGCGCGGGUGUUUUCGGGGUGACGUGCACUAGUCCACAGCUCAUGUCUGGCUGCAAACAGAGACAGAUUAAAUAUGAACGCACUGUUUCUCCAAGGUCAACGUGAGACCAAAGACCCUAGGAGGGUCAGCCACAAAUCCCAGCAUCCACUCCCAGACGCUCAUUCCUUUGGUGUUGGGGUAGAUGAAACGGUGACCAGGACGUGGAAUCUCCACGCCAAGGGGUGGGGAGUGGAUGAGGCCACCUGGGGGCAGAAAGGCCCCACACAGCCUCGGGGAAGCUGCGGGAGGAGGGUGUCUGAGCCGAAACCACCAAGGUCCAGGUGACUGAGUCGCCUGCUUUGAGGCGAGCAAGAGCAUGAGACUUGGAGAAAGGGAGAAGACACGAAAAGGAGGGGCGAGAAUAUGGAGGGGGCGCGUGACGCUCUCGGGGGGCACGGCAGCACCGGGCCGCCCGGGCGGGACCGCUUCACUGGGGAGUGUGCACUGUGUCCUGAGGGCGCCGGGCAGCCAUGGUGGGCUGUGGCGGGAGCGCAGCAAGAUCUCACUCGUGGCUUUCAAACACCCUUCUGGUUGCUUUGCAGAGAACACGGCAGACCAUGGAUGAAGCCAGGAGGAGAUGAAAGCUGAGCUCCUUCCUCUCUGGAGCCCUGGAAAUGGACAGAGCCAGGUGUCACCUCAGCACCACCGCUUCCUAUCUAGGUGGAACUGGAUGAGCCCUGCCCCUCCCGUAGUCUUGAGUUUCUCAUCUGUAAAACGGGGGUGGUUUCGAACAUGCGCCUUGGGUGGCUAUAAAGACUGAAAUGAGUUACUCCAUGUCCAGUGGCUGGCACAGAACAGCACUCAGUACAUGGAAGCUGUUAUUCUUGUGCCUUUUUGUCCCCGACACACGCAUGCGCACCCCUUGCCCACCGUACCCUGGGCUUGCACUAGGGCCCCUCCCCAUUUUCACAGCCAGCUCCAAGCCAAGCCCCGUCAGCAGCUCUGGGUUGAGGGGGAGUGGAACGGAGGCCUCAGAGGGUUUGUGCUGGAGCUCGGUUGCCUAGCAACAGCAUCAGCAUCGGUGUCAUCGCAGGGCCAGGCUGCAGCAGGCACCAGGCACGACAAAGGCAGCGGAAAUGAGGCACAGCCAGCCUCCGGAAACUGGUGGGAGCAGGGCCUUGUUUUUGGCAGGAAUCAGAUACACCCAGAUCUAGCUUGUGGGGGCAGCCCCCCAUUCUAGCUUCCUCUGCUUCCCCAGUGGGGCCCACAUCCCUCACAAUACCCUGGGCCAUUUGGUAUAAGGAGGACUGAGAGUUGAUAUGGGUGCCACUGUAUGCCCACCGAAAGCAUACAUUAUACGUUCAUAGUGUCCAGAACAGUGCGUGUCCCCAGCUUACAGCCGAGGACAAUGAGGCUGGGAGGGGAUUCACAUUCAAAGUUUAAGUCCACCUGCCUUCAAAGACCUUGCUCAUCUCACUGUACCUCCCAGACCCCACGCCUGGCCCUGGCACGAGCAGCCCAGCACCCCAGCCUGGCCCCUGGGUGACACCUGGGCAGCUCACCCAUGGUGGUCAGAGCUGGGGUCUUCAUCCGCCCCAGCCUGCUCCUCUUCCUUCCAGGCCCUCUUCCCAGUGAGGGCACCGGCACCUACCCUUCACCCACACCUAAUAAAGCAGGUGUCACCCUGGACAUUUCUCUUCCUCAUCAGCCACACGGUGAAUCAGUCUCCAAAUCCCAAUCCUGGUCAUCUUCUCGCACCUCCUCCCCACCGUCGGGAGCAAGCCUGGCCACGGGCUCCCACCCUGUGCACCCGUCGCCUGGCACUCAGCCCUCAGCGCCCCCCCCCCCAGCUCUUCCAAAGCUUCCAUCUGACCUUGGCCAUCCUUUGCUUGAAUGCUUAUCAUGGUGCCACCCCACCCGGAGUCUGAAGCCCCUACUCUUUACCAGGCCUCCCAGGCAAACCCAGCCCCCACAACUGUGUGCCCACAACACACACACACACACACACACACACACACACAGACCCAUGCCCUUCACUCCUGACACUCCGAGCGCCUGAGCUCCACGCUGCUCCCUGACGAUAUGCACAGUGCCAGCCACUGAGGACAGUUGGUCACCUUAGCAACUGAGCCCCUCUCUGACCUGCCAGUUUUGCAAUGAAAACACAUCCUAAGUUCCAGCCAGGUAUAGCUCGUCUUUGAUUCUGGACACCCCGGUCACCCUCAGAGGAUGCCUCGCUGCACUGGGAGACUGACCCGCAUUGUCAUGUCAGUCCUGAGGGGGUCAGGUGGCCUGUAAAGGCAGGAGUGGGACCCCAGGCUUCUGCAACGGGAUGGCUUAGGUCUGAAUCCCAGGGAGGCAGCUUACUGGUUCCACGACUGCAGAGUUUUUAAAUAUGGCCAUGUGUUCUUUGACACUCACUUCAAAAGUUGGAAUUUAAUUCUCCUGUCCUUGAGUGUAGGCUGGACUUAGUGAUUCCCUUCUAACCAACAGAAUAAUGUGGACAUGACAGCAUGUGACUUCAGAGACUAGGUUGUCAGAGGCAUUCUGGCCGUGUUUCUUCUCUCCGCCUUGGGUCCCUGGCUCUAGAGAAAGACAGCUGCCACGUGAGGAGGGUGCCGAAGCUAGCAGAGGAGAAGCCCCGUGGCGGGACAAGGCCCUUGCCAGCAGCCACGGGACUGAGCAGUCCUGGAAGGGGAUGCCAGCCCCCCAAGCCCGCAGCCGCCUGCAGCACCAGCCAACAUCCGCUGCAGCCUCGCGGGAGACCUGGCCCAGAACCAGCCAGCGACUCCGCGCCCAGAUCCCCGCCCUGCAGGAAGUGUGAGACCACAAGCGUUUGCUGUGGCAAGCUGCUCAGUUGCGGGGCAAUGUUGUUACCCGGCAGUAGGUGACUGAGCAGUGUCCUAGAGUAGGUGGCUUGACCUCUCUGUGCCUACACUUCCUCAUCCAUAAAAUGGGGUUAAGAAUGUGUGUAUACGGCUGAAAAGAUGAAAGGAAUUAAUAAUUAGGAAGUGCCCAAUAAUAGGCACGGUGCCUGGUCCAUACUGAACACUCAGUAAAUAUUAAGCUUUAUUUUUUGCUAUUAUUUCUUUCUCAUUUCUAAAGACUCCAAGUAAGACCAAAAUCAAGGGCCGUCCCCUGUCCAAGCAGGUGUUCCCAGCUUAUUGCACCUGCCACCAGAAGCCCGUCUGCUGUGCCCGCUGAACGCCAUUGUCACUACUUCUUUGAGGCGGAAUUCCAGCCCAAGGAUUCUGAGACCUUGCCAAGACAGUGAUGCUUUCCCUAACGACAAUAACAGCAAUAAGAAUAUUAGGAGCCGCGAGCACAUACCGAGCUCUGACUCUGAGUGCUUUACAGCUACGACUCCUGGCGUGUGGGAAUAUUGGAUCCCGUGACAGACGAGACAACUGGAGAGCAAAGGGCAGCCCCCCAGUGAGUGAGCGGUGGAGCCAGGACACUGUCUGACCUCACAGCCGCUGCUAAGAGGAACUUUGAGAGCAGACGCCUCCCUUACCUGCAGCCGGGGGACUCCAGAAGAGCAAGUGCUGACUGCAGCGGGAACUGAAAGCCUGCCCUCAAGUUGGACGCACCGGCUUUUGGAGAGGCCACAGCUUUUGAGCGCCCUCCUGCCUGCACGGCAGGGCUCGGGCCUCUGGAGCAUGGCAAAGCCAGCGGCCCUGUGCGGCGGGUGCUAGCACAGGCCGGGCACGGGCCGUCUCCCUGACCGCACACCCUCUGCCUCCCCGCUUCCCCCGUCCUGCAGAGCUGAGCAAGACCGAAGGCUCUGGAGGGAGUGGAGCACCUUAACAUCCCCUCCUGGUGACUCUGGUGCUCACCUCACCGAGGGGUCACAGAGGCCCGUGGCCUGAAAGAGGCGGCUGCCCGUGGCUCCCGACUUCAACGUAGAACGCGGCCAUCAGCACCGUCCUUGAGCACAUCUGUUUGGCCAGUCCCAGCCUCCCUCUCCACCCAGGAGACACCCCAGGAGGGGCUGUCUGUGCCUGGGAAACAAAGAGGGACCCUCAAAGGGUUAGCAAAACUCCAUCUUUGCCAGCCCUCUGCCCCCGGCCCUAGGUCCUACCCGUGCAGGGACAACAGAACGCGGGGAAGGGCUCAGGCAUCUGCGUGAGGCAGAGCACGCCGAUUGUUCAUGUGCCAAAGUGCGGGCCAGCUUCACGAACCUUCGUGCAGCCCAGCAAGAAGGCCUGAGCAGCCCCUCGGGGAGAACGAGGCAAAGCGGGGGGCUCGCUGUCGGGCUCUCGCCUGGCAGGGAGGGAGACAGGGCCCCACCCACCGGGAAGUGUCCUGUCCUCACGGUCUGACAAUGAGGAGCCCAGAGCCCGGAGGGACAACAGAGGCUGCCCGUCCUGUCUCCCACUCAGCUCCCUGGCUCCUUGCCGAGGGGAUGCUACCAAGAGAGAGUUUACUGCCUCUCGAGACUGCCCCUUCUGGAACCCGGGUUCUGGAAUUAGAGCCCUGGGUUGGGUAGUCGGUUCAGCUGUGCCACCCUGGACCAGCGGCUUCAUGCGUUCCAGCCCUCUCCACAGCUGGGGCUCUAAGCUCCAGGAAGGCAGAGAGGGUCGAACGCAGUAUCGGCUACGGGUAUACUUUUGAAACCGCAAAAGGGAAAUCGCGGAGGUUGUCGUGACAAAGAUAAGCACUUGCCAGCUUCGUUAGGACUCGGAUCCAAUCUGAAAACUGUCAUUCUGCAAAGGAUGGCCCAAGGCUGAACUCACCAAUGACCUUGCCACCAGGCACAAGGACACAUGCACCAAAGAGAGGGCUGUGCACCUGUCACUCCUCCCCCAUCCUCCUUUCUGUCAACAAGCAUUCCAGUGCUUUCUGUGGCAGAUACAGACAGACCUUCCCAGACCACCCAACACACCCCACCGCUGUCUCCUGCUGGUUUAUUUCUUUCUGCAGGGCUCAUCACCAACAGGUCUUUUCUCAUUGAUCUGUUUGUUUACCUAUCAGGACUCUCCUGCUAGAACGUGAGCACCUCCCCAGCAGGGACCUUGUCUGCCUCAUUCCCCACUGAGUUCCCAGUGCCAGCUGGGGCCUGGUAUAUGAGACGCUGAAUAUAUCUGUUGAAUUAAUUUGCAAAUAAAUUAUAUCAAAUGCA